UAAAAUAUAAAUACAAAGUAGUUAGUAAUUAAGGAAAUGCAAAUUAAAACGCAGAAAUAUCUUUUCAGGUCCAUCAGAUUGACCAGACUGUUGAUGAUUCCAAGUGUUGGUCAGGAUGAGAAAAUUCUCAUAAAUGCUGGUUACUCCAGAUUUUGCAAUUACAUCUGCACGCUGGCCAACAAGGAGGAGGAAAAAUGGAGGAGAAGGAAUAUCCCACAUCUCUGAGGACACUUUCAGGAUACCUAUCACUUUACGCUUAUAUCUCAUUAUUUAGCACUUAGACAUAUGUCACACAGAGCUUCAAGGGCAGCUGGUAAAUACAGCUUUUAUUCUAGGUGGUUAGAGCCCAUCUAAGUUUGAGGGCUUUGAUUACUGAGAAAGAAGAGAGUUGAUACUGUAGGGAUAACCAGGAGCUUCUGCCAUACCAUCUUCAUCCUUUCCUCUUCUCCUCCACCUGAGAGAAUACUAAUUUGAUUCCAGCAUUCAUCCUGUCAUGAUUACUCUUGGGCAGACAACUGUGCAAUAAAAGACUUAAUGCAUGUGUGCACUGAUACGGCCCUUUCUUGGAUGAUCUGCUCCACUUAUUCCUUGCGUAUAGCUGAGUUGGUAAACUGAUAAAUAUUGGCCUAAGGAAUGACCCAAGUAUCUCUAUCUCUGGUCCCUUUCUCUUCAUUUACAAAUGUUUGAGCACUUUCACUGUUUUCAUGGGAGCAGUUGGCUGGUGGCUUGCUUUGGCCAUACGUGGGGGUGUGAAUCACAUACUCCAUUCUACCUAACCAGGAAGUCAUGCCUUAAUAAUUACAGUUUGAGACCAACUAAUAUUUAAGACAAAAUAGAUACAUUGAUUUUAGUUUUAAAGAGAAAGUACUUGGAAUAGAAAUAAGAACCUCAAGAAAACACUCAAGUGAUAAAAGAUGAGGGUGCCUAGGUGGCUCAGUUGGCUAAGCAACUGCCUUUGGCUCAGGUCAUGAUCCUGGAGACCUGGGAUCGAGCCCCACACUGGGAUCCCAGCUCCAUAUGGAGUCUGCUUCUCCCUCUGACCUUCUCCCAUUUUAUGAUCUCUCUCUCUCUCUCAAACAAAUAAAAUCUUAAAAAAAAAAAAAAGAUGAUAGCUAAAUUGUUCUAUGUAACAGAAGGGGCCAAAGGAGCUGGAGGUUGUGAGGUGGGAGAAUCAGAAGGGAACCACCUUGAUUAGGAAUGGAGAGACAAAAAAAACCCCUAUGACUGUUUGUAGGCUCUGUGCUGUGGAUAUAUCUUGUCAACCUCCUCUUUUUUUUCACUUCUAUGAAAUAUUUAGAAAGUUACAUUGUACUCAAGGGUAUGUAUGAGUAGACUCAUGAUGGGGCUCAAAGAUGAGACAACAAGUGACAAUUUGUAUUAUGUCACUUGCAAGUUCAGAAACCCAAGACAGACAAGCUAACUCAAGGAAGAGACAGGAAGACUGAAGAAGAAAGUCAGUUGGCUUAUUAAACUGGGAAGUCCAGGAAUGAAUUUUGGAUUUAGGCAUAAUAAGUGUUAUUGUUUUUUCUUCACCACCCCCUCAUCUCUAUCUCUCUUCAUUUCCAUGUCUGCCUCUGCUUUCUCCUCUCUGUUGGUCUCUUUUCCUUUCCACUAAAGACAGGCUUCCUCCAUUCAGCUAGAGAAGACAUUCACUGACAGCACCAGAUUCACAUUUUCCCAGUACAGCAAACCCAGCAGAAAAGCAAUUGGCUCCUCACAUUUGUAUAUAAAUCCAGAGGAAAACACUUCUCCUGCUGAAUUGCGUGUCUGUUCCUAGAUCAAUCAGCAAACCAAACAUAUAAUGAACCAUGAGUCAGCCAUGUGACCACCCCACAGCCAGAGAGCGGUACAAUUGAUAGUCCCAAAUAUGUAAUUGGAAAAGUACUCCCCAAGAGAAAGGGAGUGCUGCAACCAAAUGUGCUGUGCAGGCAAAAAUAACAUAACAUAACAUAACAUAACAUAACAUAACAUAUAAACUAAAUAAAAUACAAUAAAUAAAAUAAAUUUAAAAAAUGAAAUAAAGAAAAAAAGAAAAACUCCAAU
rnacentral:lncRNA from 1 species